rnacentral:rRNA from 1 species
ACGAUAACGGCGUCGAGCGGCGGACGGGUGAGUAAUGCCUAGGAAAUUGCCCUGAUGUGGGGGAUAACCAUUGGAAACGAUGGCUAAUACCGCAUGAUGCCUACGGGCCAAAGAGGGGGACCUUCGGGCCUCUCGCGUCAGGAUAUGCCUAGGUGGGAUUAGCUAGUUGGUGAGGUAAGGGCUCACCAAGGCGACGAUCCCUAGCUGGUCUGAGAGGAUGAUCAGCCACACUGGAACUGAGACACGGUCCAGACUCCUACGGGAGGCAGCAGUGGGGAAUAUUGCACAAUGGGCGCAAGCCUGAUGCAGCCAUGCCGCGUGUGUGAAGAAGGCCUUCGGGUUGUAAAGCACUUUCAGUCGUGAGGAAGGUAGUGUAGUUAAUAGCUGCAUUAUUUGACGUUAGCGACAGAAGAAGCACCGGCUAACUCCGUGCCAGCAGCCGCGGUAAUACGGAGGGUGCGAGCGUUAAUCGGAAUUACUGGGCGUAAAGCGCAUGCAGGUGGUUUGUUAAGUCAGAUGUGAAAGCCCGGGGCUCAACCUCGGAAUUGCAUUUGAAACUGGCAGACUAGAGUACUGUAGAGGGGGGUAGAAUUUCAGGUGUAGCGGUGAAAUGCGUAGAGAUCUGAAGGAAUACCGGUGGCGAAGGCGGCCCCCUGGACAGAUACUGACACUCAGAUGCGAAAGCGUGGGGAGCAAACAGGAUUAGAUACCCUGGUAGUCCACGCCGUAAACGAUGUCUACUUGGAGGUUGUGGCCUUGAGCCGUGGCUUUCGGAGCUAACGCGUUAAGUAGACCGCCUGGGGAGUACGGUCGCAAGAUUAAAACUCAAAUGAAUUGACGGGGGCCCGCACAAGCGGUGGAGCAUGUGGUUUAAUUCGAUGCAACGCGAAGAACCUUACCUACUCUUGACAUCCAGAGAACUUUCCAGAGAUGGAUUGGUGCCUUCGGGAACUCUGAGACAGGUGCUGCAUGGCUGUCGUCAGCUCGUGUUGUGAAAUGUUGGGUUAAGUCCCGCAACGAGCGCAACCCUUAUCCUUGUUUGCCAG